GAGGAAGAUGGGCACUGAUGCUGGCUCAGGGCCAGUCUUCCUCACACACAUACAAAAAAAUAUUGACAACAUCAAAUGUCAGCAAGGAUUCGGAGCAACUGGAAUUCUCACCCAUCGCUGGUGGGAAUGGAAAAUGGUGCAAACACUUUGGGAGACAACUGGGCGGUUUCUCACACAUACCUUUCCUCCAUGACCCCGCAAGGUCACCCCUAGGUAUUUACCUAAGAGAAAAGAAAACAUCUGGCAGCUUUAUCACCCAAACUGGGAACAACUCAAAUGGCCAUCACCUGGUGCUUGGAUGAAAGUGCCACGUCCACACAAGGGAAUACUACUGUGCAGUAAACAAUUCCUGACACAAGAACGUGGAGGAGCUCAGGAGCAACAUGCCAAGUUAAAGAAGUCAGACGCUAAAAGCGACACGCUGUAUAACUCUACUUACAGACAUCUGGUAAAGGCAAAACUAUAGGCCAUAAAUCAGGGGUCCUGAGGCUGCAGGAGGGGAUUGACAGCAAAGGGACAUGAGGGACCUCUUUGGCGUGACGGGUAUGUUCUCUGGGUGCUGAUGGUGACAAUAUGGCUGGCUGCGUUGUCAACCCUAACGGAGCUGUACACCUAAAACGGAUGAAUUUUGCCUCCAUAAACCAGACUUAAAGAGAAAAUCAAAAAGGAGAGCAAAACAAGGUCUCCUCCAGAAGGUCUGAACGCUCAGGUGGCCACAGUCCUGGAGUCUUCUGGAAUCUCUCCGCGCUCCCCUGAAAGCCGAAAGGAGGGAGAAAUUCAGAGCAAUCCCGCCUGAAUCUUUGUUUCUGGGUUUUAAGUUUGAGGUGUGACCGACAUGAUCUCUUUAAAACUAAGAGGUAAUGAAGUUGCUGUGACUGCUGGCGUCCUUUCUGCGAGGAUCAGCCCUCCAACAAUUUGCUGGAAGUUUAGUACAGACACUUUAUUUUUCUGUAAACAAGGGUAUUAGGAAACAAUAUUUUUGGCAAGCAUUGCUUGUGAAGACUUGUUUUCUUUGGACUAUUUCUAUAAGCAGAAAUGUGAAUGGUGAAAUCAGUCACUAGUUUUGGUGAAUAUUUUUGAAGUGAAGAGUCAAAACUUUGACCAAUGCGAUGAUAUUUAUAUACCUUGAAAUAUAAAGUUAGGAAACUGCCUCUGUUGGGAGUCACUGUUCAACACGGAGCCCUCAGAACAGGGAGCACCUACCUUUUCUGGAGUCUGCCAGAGUUCCCUGUUCUGUGCCUCUGGACUCUUCCCUAUCAGAUGGCCCAUCCUCAGCCUGUAGCCCUGCAGAACUGCCCUGUACUGUUGUGCAGUGUGUGCACUGCAUAAAGGUUCUGACUGAAGGGGGCUGCUCUAGCUCUGCUUGUGGGCUGGAUGCUCAUGGAGCUGCACGUGCCCAGAGCAGCAGCUUUUCCUAGUUCACACAAAGGCAUCAUAUCGGCCAGGAGUGGUCGAUAAACCAAAGCAUUCUAGAAGGUAGGAGUGAGUCAUGGUGUCCAGUGCUGCAGAGCCAAGAAAGAGGCCGACUGAGAAUAGAGCACUGUGUAAAGCAACAGGGGCAUCAUUAGUGAUCUUGAGAUUUGUUUUGGGGGAGCGAUGGAGGUGACAGCCUCAUUCAAUUUGGUUCAAGAAUGGGAGGAAAGGAAUUAGGGCAGAAAAAUGUGUGUGUGUGCGUGUGUGCGUGUGUGUUGGGCAGGUCUGGGAAACAGAGAAACCAGGACUGUGUCCAGCCAGUAUGUGAAGUGCACGGGUUUCGUGGUUCUAUGCGUGGGAAGGAGUCUAACCGGUGGGUGAUUAUUUUUAAACGAAACAGCACAUGAGAAAGCGCUCGGGGCUGUGCUGGGUACAUCUGAAGGCUCCAUCCACGUCAGCUGUCAUGGUAACCCCACGAGCAGGGACGUGCGCGUCUCCCGUCUUGCUCACACGCCACAGAGAACCAGAAGGCCUGUGCCUUCCUUCUUCAACACGCCUGUCUCCUGCUCUUUCCUUCAGCCCACAGCCAUAGGCCAUGGCUUCUAGCUUUGAAGAGAGAAACCUCUGUUCUUCCAGGGCUGGCCUGGGUAGGGACUGGGGGAGGCAGAGGUCCCAGAACUGGCAGAGGUGGAUGCUGACUGACAGGCAGGCUGAGACGCUGUAUGGUGGCAGUGAAUUCUAGUCCACGUGGUUUGAGGACAGGAAGGACUCUCCUGGGAAGACUAAGAUGUGGGGCACAAAAGACUCUGGCACCCCCAUUGAUGCAUGACGGUUUGAGUAAGAGCUCAAGUAUUCUGAGGAAGUGCCCAGGGUACUGGCUCAUGGACUUCCUCCAUCUCCAUCCUCCGCCAUCGCUUCUUCAGUUCCUGGGUACGUGGGGCGGCCAUAAACUCUGAUCACACGGAGGAUGACCUUUACAGGUUGACGAUGUCCUCGAUGACAUUCUCGAUGCUCAACCUCUGUUUCCAGACAUGAUGAACACCCCCCUCCGUGCACCAGGCUGUGUGAAUGCACGACUGUGGGAUUAUUUCUGUCUCUUUAUUCAUCCUUAAACAUCUUUUGCCAUUUUAACCAUGCAGCCUUAAAAAAUGUUUUUUUAUAGAAUAAUUGUCUGAGCUCAGAAGAGCCAGUGGUGUUACUCAUUGUCACCGAAACCCAGAUGGUAUUUUUGUUCUGUGCUCAAAUUGGCUUUGGCGUUUCUUUCCAGGCCCUGUAAGCGCCUUAAAAUUUCCAUUUAUCGGGUCAAGCUGUUCUGUAAUCAACCAGAAAGCGCAAGACACACGUAUUUCUUAAUCUCUUCCAAACUGAGAGAGAGGAAGAUUUUUUAAAAAGCACAUAUAAAUUUAUAUAUAUUCUAAGAAGAGGAAAGGAGGAAGCUGUCUUCUAAUAUUCCCAUUAUAACUCAUAUUUAACAAAAAACAGUUUGCAGAUGGCUGAGGACAAUGGGAGACGAGCUGUGUCUGGCUAAGUGGAGACUAGAGCUGCGUCUGGGCCUUCCCUCUGGGCAGGGCGGGGAUGGGGCCCUGGAUGGAACACAGCCGGUCAGGACUCCUGGAUCAGAAGGGCACAGUGGCACCCCACGAGGCUGGUCAGCCCGUCAGUUCCUCUUGGUUCCCAAGAGAAAUUCACAGGACUUGGGAGAUGGAAAGGACGUGGAGGUCUUCUAGCUCAGUUUGCUCAUGGUGCAGAUGGGGAUCCCAGGGCACACAGCCUGGGGGCAGCGCCAGAAUCGGAACACAGACCUUUGACUCCAGGGCUCCUAGCUGCUAGGGUAGGAAAGGUUGGAGAGAGCCCCCUGCCUGUCUCCCAUCUUCCAGGGAACGUCCCCUUCUGUCCUGAUGAAACAGUCAGUGACCUCCUCCUGGGAAGGUGAACUUGGAUGUAGGACGCCAAGGUGCCAGGGCUCCGGGAGUGGGCCGACCUUGUCCUGCAGCUGCCUUUUCCUUCCCCAGCUCUGGAUGUCUUUGCAGACACUGGUCCCGGAGCCACCUGGCCCUAAAGUCAUGGAGUGUAGAACAUUCUUCCUGACCUACGAUAUGGCUUCCAUCCAUUUCCUUCUGAAUAUUUGCAAUGCAGAGAAAGGUAGCGUGAUUCCACAUUGCAAACUUUGAUUUCAGGGCUCCAGGGCCUGCACAGGUGAGCUGGGUCCCUAUUCCUGCAAACUUGGGGGUCCGCCUCCUGGGCUGGCUUUGCGUAAGAAAGCGGACAUGAUGCAAAUUGCUGUAGACCGCGGGCUGUGGCUGAUGUGAAAGUCUUUACAAGGAAGCUGAAACUCAAGAUGAGCAGUAAAUGUACAUCAGGAUCAAUGGUCCAAAGUGGGAGCUCCUGCACUCAUCUAGAAAAUGACAGAUUCCCUAAAAGGAAUCCCUUUGUUUUUCUAGGAACACCAAAAGCCCCGUAGCGGAACCCAAUCACCUUCCGAGGCAGUGAAGCUCUGCUUAUGCCAACUUCCAGGACCAAGCCUUUGAAACAGAUGUCAGUGGACCUCUGUUCUACUGAAACAGAGAUGAGUAGAGGAAAUGUUUGCAAAAAUAUUGAAGCGUAGUCCCAUUAAAUUAUUAGCAUCAUCUUAGAGAUGGUGACAGUAGCGAGGUUUUGGGGGAUGUUGCAGGCUGAAUUAUGUCCUCCGCCCAAAUUCACACGUUGAGGUCCUAACCCCCAGCAUCUCGGACUGUGUGGUUAUUUGUAGAAGAAUUCUUUAUAGAGGCGAGUAAGUUAAAAUGACAUCAUUAGGGUGGGCCCCACUCCAAUCUGACUGCGUCCUUAUGAGAAGAGGAGAUCAGGACACAGACACAUGGAGGGAUGGUCGUGUGAGGACACGGGAGAAAACGACCAUCUACAGGCCAAGGAGGGAGACCUCAGAGGAACCAGCCCUGUCCCCACCUGGAUCUGGGGCUCCCAGCCUCCAGAACUGUGAGGAGAUAAAUGUCAGCUCUUCAAGCUGCCCAGUGUGUGGUACUUUGUUGCGGGACCUGAGCUGACUAUGAUGGGGGUAAGGCAGUCGGAAGCAGCAUGACUUCAAUUUAAAGCCCUACAGAUGCUGCCAGCUCCAGGCCCAGGGUGACAGGCACAAAGAGAGUGCUGAUGAACACGUGGGCACUAUGAUCGGCCAACAGUUGGGGCUGUGGAUACAGAAACUGCAUCACUGCCAAAAAAAGACAAGGGCCACCUCGCAGUGCCCCACCACAUGCCUUGCUCUUAUCAACCCCUCCUACACCUAGGAAACCACUCUCAUCGGCAACUGCGGCCCAACUCUCUUCCCACGUGAACUGUGGACACAAAGGAAGAGAACUGCCAUGAUGCUCGUCUGCAAACACUCCUUCCACCGGACCACAAGUACCCGGGAGAGAUUGCUGGCACCUUCCCCACCCCCAACAUCCACCCUCCCUUUCUUCUGAGGAACAGAACUCCAAUUUUAUUCAGGGUGGACAUAUGCCCAGCUAAAGGACUGCCUUUUCCCGUCUCUUGGCCCUCGUGGCCCUCAUGUGAUGUUCUGCCGAAGAGAUGUCCAUGGGGAUGUGUUGUGGGGAUUCUGGGAAGUCUCCUUCAAAGGGAGGAGGCACUUCUCUCACAUCCUCCUGCUUCUUUCUUUCCGUGGCCUGGAAUGUGGAUGCCACGGCUGGAGGUUCAGCAGCCAUCUUGUUCCAUGAGUUGACUCUGAGAAGAGAAGCCACAUGUGACAGAACAGAAAAAUAGAAGCAUGGGGGUCUGAUGACUUCGUGAAGCUGCCAUGUGUGCCCUGGAAUGCUUGCUUUCAGACAGCUUCUCUGUGAUGGAAACAAAAGCCCUGAGUGAGCUCCUCUGUCAGCGGCUCUGGAGCUCGGUGCCCGGCUAAUCACCCAGAGAGGGCCCUCCUGGAACCCAGGCGGCCGCGGACCUUGGAAGUGGUGAGGAGAGCCCUGUCGGGAACGUGUGCAGGCACCGUCGGGAUGGCCGUGCCUGCUCCAGAAGUCGGCUCUGAUCUUCCCGCCGUCAACAAGACUUUCCCCUCCUUUACGUCCAGCUGACCUCUCGUGCGGGGUGAGAUCCGAAACGGAUAAAAACACACUGGGAGCUGCCAUGUCACAAAGCAGAUGUGUGAGCAUCCUACUCUCGAGCCUGCCGCUGGGAAUCCAGACGUGAUGAGCCUCAGUCUUUUUAAUCGACAGCAGUGGUGAAUCAAGAUGGUAGAUACUUUGCUGCAAUGUGACUCGGAGCCAAGGACGGGCAGAGAUUCUGUUCGCAGUCCACCUUCCUUCCAACCCUCCAGGUUGUGAUGUAAUUGCAGCCGAGGCAGAAUUAACAAUAAGGAGCCGGACGUGCCUUAAUUCAUUAUGUGCUUUGCCUGGUGCAUUUAUUGAUUGGUGCCAGCUUGCCUGGCCGGCUUGGUGGGUGGCAGGUGGGUCCCUGCUGGCCCCUCCGUGCUCACCUGUGAUGCCUGAGCACGAGGCAGGAGCUCAUCCCAUGAGGAGUCCCGGGUGGGCUGCAUGGGUGGUGGUGGGGUCAGGGGGCUACAGAUUCUUCAAAGCGGUACGACAUUUCAGAGCACCUGUUUGCCCUUUUGUUAGGGAACGAUUGUCUUCAACCCCUACCCCUUCCAAGACAGAGCCCUCCCUCAGGAGCUCCUGACUUGCUGUGAUCUAAGGACCCGGAAGAGCAGGGUCAAAACUGCCCUGUGCUGGAAACCAUGGGCUGCGUAGUCUCUUAGGGAAAUGUGUGAGCCACAGGACACCCCCCAACCAUGAUGAUGGAGGCACAUGUGGUGUUCUAACCUCCCAGCUAUGGGUUGUCACCAUGGUAACUACUUUCAUACCUUCAUUAGUAUUUCCAACAACAUUAACAAUGACCUUGUCUUCUUGCAUCUGUGGUUUCGUUUGGUCCUGGCAAGGACGUAGGGGCUGGGUAUUUUUCUUUACGCUCAUUUUGCCCAAGAGGAAGUGGAGACCCAGGGAAGUUAGGUGCAGCCAACUAGGUGGUAAAUGAUGAAGCUGGGACCCAUCGGGCCUUCCAGCGUCAAGGCCUGCCUCUGGCUGGGUUUCAUGACAGUGCCUCUUCUCAGGGCCGUUGUGGAUGCACGGGAAGGUAGGCAUGCAGGCCGGCCCCGGUUCUGUCUGUUUCCUAAGAACCAAGGGCGUCAUUUGUCCAAUGGCUGACAAGGACCUCGUGUGGCCUUGGGAUCCCACUGCCAUUUUGUUCAAGGCUCAAAAGUACGAGCCCCUUGUAACUUGACAUCCGGCCCACCUUUUGUAUCCUGUUUCAUUCUCUUCCCCACCCAGUCUGCCUCCACUUGGGGUCUUCUGGGCAUCUCAUUCCAGCCUUAGCUCACCAUGGGCACCCCCUGUGCUGUGGCUUCGACCCUCAGAAUAGGCUUCUUCAAGAGCUGGCAGUCCCUGGCAAUGGAGGAGAUCGCAAAGAACUGGACCCCCAGACUCUGUCAGCACACGGAUUCUGCCCACCUGCUAUGGUCUGAAUGUCUGUGUCUCCCCAGAAUUGACAUAUUGAAAUCCUAAUGCCUGAUGUGAAGGCACUAGGGGGCAGGACCUUUGGGGGCUGAUGAGGUCACCAGAGCAGAGCCUUCGUGAAUGGGAUCAGUGCCCUCGUAAAAGAGACCCCACAGAGCUCCCUGGGCCCUUCCACCACGUGAGGACACGGUGAGAAGACGCCGUCUAUGAACCAGGGCCUUCACCAGACGCCGAAUCUGCUGGCGCCUUGAUUUUGGAAUUCCAGCCUCCAGAACUGUGAGGAGCAAAUGUCCGUUGUUUAUAAGCUGCCCCAUCUCUGGUAUUUUGUUACAGCAGCCCAAACAGGCUAAGAUGUGCUUGUUUAUAUUUUCAGCCUGGGCCAUUCUUGGUGGGAAGGAGAAGAAAGAAUUGAUUUCACAAGUUGAUAAUCCGUUGCAUAAAAAAGUGCUAUUUUUUUGAUUUCCUCUCUCUAACUUUAAGGGGCCCUUCUUGGUUACGAGGCCUGAAAUUUAAGUAUACACGUCCGAACCCAGCCUUUCUCUGGCUCAACCACUGUGUUCAUUUGCCCUGUGAGCCAUUGUCCCGGCCUCAUCCCUACUCAUGUCUCUGCCUCCCUCAGCCGGGUGACCACGGGAGGGUGGGGGCUGAGCCACGCAGACCCCUCUCCUGUCCACCUUGGGCCGUCUCCAUGCUGCCCUGGCCCUCUGGGUCUUGAU